AUACGGAGGAUCCGAGCGUUAUCCGGAUUUAUUGGGUUUAAAGGGUGCUCAGGCGGGCGAUUAAGUCGGCGGUGAAAUUUUGCGGCUCAACCGUAAAAGUGCCUUCGAAACUGGUUGCCUUGAGUGUGGAUGAGGUAGGCGGAAUUUGUGGUGUAGCGGUGAAAUGCAUAGAUAUCACGAGGAACUCCGAUUGCGCAGGCAGCUUACUAAGCCAUAACUGACGCUCAAGCACGAAGGCGUGGGGAUCAAACAGGAUUAGAUACCCUGGUAGUCCACGCAGUAAACGAUGAUUACUGGCUGUUUGCGAUAUAAUGUAAGCGGCUGAGCGAAAGCGUUAAGUAAUCCACCUGGGGAGUACGUUCGCAAGAAUGAAACUCAAAGGAAUUGACGGGG
rnacentral:rRNA from 1 species